CGACUCUCGGCAACGGAUAUCUCGGCUCUCGCAUCGAUGAAAAACGUAGCGAAAUGCGAUACUUGGUGUGAAUUGCAAAAUCCCGUGAACCAUCGAGUCUUUGAACGCAAGUUGCGCCCGAAGCCGUCAGGCCGAGGGCACGCCUGCCUGGGUGUCACG
rnacentral:rRNA from 1 species